AACAGCGCGGGAAGCCGCGGCCCAAUCGACCACCGCCGCCCCUCACGGGGGAGAAACGCGGCCCCGCGCCGACCGCCCGCCCACCGGGGGGUGGUCCGAGGUCCCGAGGCGACCGACCGCCCCUCAAGGAGCGCCGCGGCCCUCACAGCGACCGUCCUUCGCGGGGGAGCGAGCAGGAGUGCUGUCUGCUCAAAGCCAUUUGUAUCCUUGGGAAGCAUCAGUGCAAGAAAACAAGCUGGAGUCUGUCAGUUCUCAAUGGAGAGCCUUGGA
rnacentral:lncRNA from 1 species